UAUCCCAUAAAAAAAGUAUUAAUACAUUGAGAAGGAAAUAUUAUUAUGUAAAUUAUUAUGUGUAUUUGCAAUAAGAAAGGAUAAGAUUGGAAUUCCUCCACUUCUUGUCCUUGUGAGCAUUGUUGCACAUUGCAAAAUGAAAAACAAAAUGAUUGUAUCGUUUGUCUUUAUAUUCAAGAGCAUUAUCAAUUAUUAAAAAGAAAUUUUAAUUGUUUUAGUAUCAAGCUGACAGCCAAUAUUGAGAUUUGUGCAAUCAUCGUGUGGUCUUAGUUUAAGUCUUCCAUUGACUUGAAAUAUUUCAGUACAAGUUUGUCAAGUGUCGAGAAUUGCCAGUAUACUGAAACACACCCAAAUUAAGCUUUUCUUCAUCAAAGCAACCAAAUUUCUGUGGAAGAAGUUCGGAGCUGAGAAGAGGAUCUAAACAACAUUGGGUAAAUAGCCUUAUGAAGAGGCAUGACGACUUGUUGAAAGAAAAAAGGAUCCAUCAUGCCCAAAAGAGAAAGAGAUUUGAAUCUUCUUCGAAGAAGGAUUAAGAAAGCAGGGAAGAAAGUGAAAAGGUUGAAAGCCUGGACAGCCCAGACAAGAGAAGAGAUGACUGAAUUAACAAAUUCGGUGGAAAAACGUUACCAGGCAAUCGUCCAAAUCAGGGAAGCGAUUCAUCCAUUAACCUUUGCUGCUGAGGCGUUGGAUGCUCAGGUAGUCGAGUUAAUUUCUGCUUGGCUCGCUGACAACGAUGACGAUUGAUCAGUUUUCCUGCUCUCUGUGGGAUGUUGGGGAGAUAGCUAGCUCAGCUGGUUUGUUGGAACUCUGGAAAGUUUUUUUUUUUUUCUAAUGGUUCUGAACUUCUCGUCUUCGCUUGCUUACUUAUUUGAACUGGAACUGCUAUGUUAUAGAGUAAAUUUGGUCUGUUUCUUCUUUUUAUUAAACUUUUUGAGUGGAACGGGAGAUGCUUGAAUUGCUAUCAUAGUUUGAUUUGAAUAUUUUCCGGAAUUUAUUUGGAUGGCUGCCUCAUUUUUUUUUCUUUCAUUCUUUUGGUGUUCUUCUAUUGAUGAUGAUAAAUGUUUACGAGGAAACAAACCACUUCAGCAUUAGAUAAAAUAGAGAG